AGUAACAAACAAAGGAGUUGUAGUUUUUCUUACGGACCAAAGACAAGCCCAUGGGUUAAGGGUCCGAUCGUGAGUAACUGCCAUCUCUUUGGAACGAACGAACCCAAGAAAAAACCGCCAUCUAGGGUUUUAAACUAAACCCUGCAAGUGUUAAUCCUUGGACCAAUUUCUCAGUCUUGCGCUUCGAUGGAGAAUCCAAAGAAGAAGAAGAAAACCAGUCAAAAUCCUGAGGCAAAGUUCCAAUUUGAGCUCAACUCAUGUUCCAAGGCUAAGGACCUGCGAGGCGCCAUAUCCCUCUAUGACGACGCCGUUUUGAACAAUACGCGCCUCAACCAACACCACUUCAAUGCCCUCCUCUACCUCUGCUCCAACUCCGUCGCCGACCACUCGCUCAAAACCACCGCACUCGAUUACGGUUUCCGCGUCUUCCGCCACAUGUCCUCUCUCGGCGUCGUUCCCAAUGAGGCCUCCGUCACUGCCGUUGCGCGCCUCGCUGCGGCCAAGGGUGACGCCGAUUAUGCCUUCGAGUUGGUGAACGGCAUGGGCAAGUACAACAACGCUACCCCGAGGCUGCGAACCUACGAUCCUGCGUUGUUCUGUUUCUGUGAAAUGCUAGACGCGGAUAAGGCCUACGAGGUGGAGGAGCACAUGAAUGGCGUUGGGGUGAGUUUGGAGGAGGCGGAACUCGCCGCGCUUUUGAAGGUGAGUGCGCGGAGUGGUAGAGCGGACAAGGUGUAUGAGUAUUUGCAUAAGCUUAGAAGCUGUGUGAGGUGUGUUAGUGAGUCCACUGCGGUGGUUGUUGAGGAGUGGUUUUGUGGUGCCAAGGCCUCUGAGGUUGGUGAGGUGGAAUUUGAUGUGGGGCAGGUCAGAGAGGGGGUUUUGCGGAAUGGGGGAGGGUGGCAUGGUCAGGGAUGGAUUGGUAAAGGGGAUUGGGCCGUCAACAGAACGAGUGUUGGUGCCGAUGGACAUUGUUGUUGUUGUGGGGAGCAAUUGGUUUGUGUUGAUAUUGAUGAUUCGGAGACGGAGAAGUUUGCAGGGUCUGUUGCUGGCUUGGCCUUGGAACGAGAGGUCAAGGCCAAUUUUAGUGAAUUUCAGGCCUGGCUUGAAAAACAUGACUCUUAUGAAGCUAUAGUGGAUGGAGCAAAUGUUGGGCUCUACAAACAAAAUUUUGCUGAUGGUGGAUUUAGCAUUUCUCAGCUUGAUUGUGUUGUAAAAGAACUUUACAAUCAGAGUGGGAAUAAAUGGCCGCUGGUUGUGCUGCACAAUAAGCGCCUAAGAGGGCUAAUGGAAAAUCCUUCCAGUAGGAAACUGGUGGAGGAGUGGAUGAAUAAUGGUGCACUGUAUACAACUCCUAAUGGGUCCAAUGAUGAUUGGUAUUGGCUCUUUGCCGCAGUAAAACUUAGGUGUUUGCUUGUGACAAAUGAUGAAAUGCGAGAUCACAUAUUUGAACUCAUAGGAAGUAACUUUUUUAACCAGUGGAAAGAAAGACAUCAGGUUCACUACACUUUUAUUAAAGGAAACCUAAAGCUUCAGAUGCCUCCAUCAUAUUCAUUGGUUAUCCAGGGUAUGGCUUAACUACAUAUGCUUCGGAUACACUUUCCAUCUACCAAGGAAUAUAAAGAUGCCUGAGCAGGAGCAGUAAACAAACCUACGGCGCAAAGAUACCUUGGAUGCUCUUUCUAUCUACCCAAUUGGCCAAUGUGUGUGGGAUGUGACACCCUUCCAAACCCAUAGGAAUUUCAAGAUGCCUGAGCACGAUUUUUCUACCCCUUUUUUAUUAUCAAUUGCUUGUUUUUAUUCUCAAUUGGCCAAUGUGUUUGUGUAUAUCUUUCUACCUCUUAAUUAGUUUCAUAUUACAAAAAUAGCGUAGAAACCGGUGAAGUUGUAUGUUUGGAAAUUGAAGUUGUAUAUCUGAUGAUUGUUAUUAGUGAAACAUUGUAUAAGAGCAUUGAGAUUAUUCACGUGGCAUCUAAGCUGAGCUUGCAAACAUAAAAAUCCUAAAUACUUCAGCAUCCAAAAUGAAUCGGAAAAAGGUUAUUGGCAUGUACCGCUAGCACCGGGCACUAGCAGUGAGUCUUCGAUAUGUUGGCUCUGCAUUACCCGGCCAAGUGGUCAUGAUGCUGUCGCUACUGUUUCCAAUGGUGUAAGUAGCUG